rnacentral:rRNA from 1 species
GAUGAACGCUGGCGGCGUGCUUAACACAUGCAAGUCGAGCGAAGCACUUACCAUUGACUCUUCGGAAGAUUUGGUAAAUGACUGAGCGGCGGACGGGUGAGUAACGCGUGGGUAACCUGCCUCAUACAGGGGAAUAACAGUUAGAAAUGGCUGCUAAUGCCGCAUAAGCGCAUAGUACCGCAUGGUACGGUGUGAAAAACCGAGGUGGUAUGAGAUGGACCCGCGUCUGAUUAGGUAGUUGGUGGGGUAACGGCCUACCAAGCCGACGAUCAGUAGCCGGCCUGAGAGGGUGAACGGCCACAUUGGGACUGAGACACGGCCCAGACUCCUACGGGAGGCAGCAGUGGGGAAUAUUGCACAAUGGGGGAAACCCUGAUGCAGCGACGCCGCGUGAAGGAAGAAGUAUCUCGGUAUGCAAACUUCUAUCAGCAGGGAAGAAAAUGACGGUACCKA